UGUGAACCAACCAACACAUGACUUUGAGCGACUUUGUCAAGAAUUAGAAUAUACAAUAAGUCCGAGACUAUUUUAUACAGUGAUUGAUUAGUCCGAGACAGUUUCUCCCGGAGAAAUGCUCUGAAAUGCCAAUCUUUUAUGCGCACGCCCACAGGACAGGUCUCUCGCCAAGAUCGACGCUGCUUAACCGUCCUGAACUGUGUGAACAUAUUGAUAUUGACGCACGGUAGACAGUAAAACACAGGUUUAAAAAUGCCCAAGAAAUCACAGCUUGAUCAUCGAAAAAGCAAGAACCUGAAGAGCAAACCAAAAUCUAACGACUCAGGAGAGAUGAACACAGAGAAACUAAUGAGACGACACAGCAAAAAGGAAUCGUAUGAUUUUUCUCGUGAUCCGGCUGAUGAGUCUCGUUCUGGUCCACAGGAGAAGCUCCAGGAUGAGAAAACAUGACGUUAACCUCCACUAUGUGACGGGGUUCAGUCUCCAUCCUGGACAACACAGUGUUUACUGUUACACAAACUACUAAGUGGCUCAACUACUGGAUCUGCAUUUGUGUUUCUGUGUCAUUCUCACACACACACAUCAGUUCAGAUCAAACGUUAUAAUUUUUCUUAUGCACAUAUAUAAUCGACUCGUUUUUCUCUUUCUACUGUACUUUAUUUUAAUGUUUUAUAAUUGUUUUUACAUAUUUUCCUAAUAAACUUUAAAAUGGAAGCAGCCUAUUGUGUUUGAUUGAGUCCCAUUUUAGAUUUUCUUCUGAACAUUAAGCACAGAAGUCCAAAAAACAAACAAAAAAGAUAAAAUAAUGAUCAAAAUCUGUUCUUUGUAGGUUGUCAACACUUUAGUCCACUAGAUGGCGCUGCAGUUUAACUUUUUGUGUAUUUGAGCUGUGUUAGUAUCUGUUGUAAAUGAGGGCGAUGCCGAUGCUACCUGGCACUGAUUGCGGUCCAGGUACAGCUCAUCAACUCCCGUGUAUAUAUACCGCACUCACGCUCUGGUUCAUUGCGAAGUCUUGAUUUGCCUGGCUGUCAUUUCUGAGCGUUCCAUACUCCCUGCUUCGGACUGAUCUGUGUUCUGACCUUGUGCUUGUUCUACGACUACGAAAGACAUCUGCCUGCCCCUGAUCUCCAGCCUGUUAUUCUGACCAG